CCUACGGGUGGCAGCAGUGAGGAAUAUUGGUCAAUGGGCUUACGCCUGAACCAGCCAAGUCGCGUGAGGGAAGACUGCCCUAUGGGUUGUAAACUUCUUUUGUCAGGGAGCAAUGUGCGCUACGUGUAGCGUUUUCGAGAGUACCUGAAGAAAACGCCUCGGCUAACUCCGUGCCAGCAGCCGCGGUAAUACGGAGGAUGCGAGCGUUAUCCGGAUUUAUUGGGUUAAAAGGGUGCGUAGGCGGUAUGCCCAGUCAGCGGUAAAAUCGCGGGGCUCAACCUCGCUCUGCCGUUGAAACUGGCGGUCUUGAGUGUGCGAAAAGUAUGCGGAAUGCGUGGUGUAGCGGUGAAAUGCAUAGAUAUCACGCAGAACUCCGAUUGCGAAGGCAGUAUACCGGCGCCCAACUGACGCUGAAGCACGAAAGCGUGGGUAUCGAACAGGAUUAGAUACCCUUGUAGUC
rnacentral:rRNA from 1 species